GUUGUGGGUUUGCCGUUUAUUGGGUAAAUAAAUUAUUUUUGACAUUUAUUGUUAUUUGUUUGGAGUUUUGUUCUGCUAUGGGGUGUUUGUUUUUGAGAAGGGUCUCAAAGGGUCAGUGUAAGCUGCCUGGAUUUGCUUUGUGGCUGAGCUUGGUCUUGAACUUACUGCCUCCUCUUCCAGGUGCUGCUGACAUUUCAGGCACAUACUACCAUCUGUCCUUGCCAUUUUCCCCCUUUUGGCUACUAGAAAUCUACCUUGGAAGUCUUAUACAUACACACACAUAUAUCCACACCUGCAUGCACAUAUACACAUAUAUAUCAGUGACACUUUUAAGACAGAAUUUCUGAAUUUGAGGUCAGCCUGGUCUACAAAGUGAGUUCCAGGACAGCCAAGGCUACACAGAGAAACCCUGUCUCGAAAAACCAACCCCCCCCCCCAAAAAAAAAAAAAAGUGAGUUCCAGGACAGCCAGGACUAUACAGAGAAACCUUGUCUGGAAAAGCAAAAAAAAAAAAAAAAAAAAGACUCAAUAUCUCUUUCCCACCCUUCCCCUGAUUUUGUUUUAGGCAGGGUCUCUUGAGAGGUAGACAACAGACAGCGAAGGGGAUCGGGGCUCUAGGACUCUCUUUGCAGGCACAUUCCCAGUGGCCUCAUCUCUUUAACCUGCCCUUGUCUCUUUAAGGUUCUGCCACUUCCCAGGAGUACCACUGGCUUUGAGGAACACUCGGAGCUUAGGGAGAUGUACUUGGUUUGUUUUCCUUACUUGCUAUCUAGAGAAACAGAAAUUAGAAGAGUGUCCUAAGUUUCAUAUGGAAAUAAAGGUUUUAUAAAUGUUAACAGUUAUUAAAACCUCAUUGAAAUCAAGCUUCUAACUGUAAUCUUAACACUCUUAAAUGCACCCUCUCACACAACUACACUCCUUUAAUCCCAGCGGGGCAGGCAAAUUUGUGAGUAAGCCAGGGUUACAGAGUGAGAUGAAAUUGUCUCC
rnacentral:lncRNA from 1 species